rnacentral:rRNA from 1 species
AGGUUACUGCUAUCGGUGUUCGCCUAAGCCAUGCGAGUCAUAUGUUCGUAAGAACAUGGCGUACUGCUCGGUAACACGUGGAUAACCUGCCCUUGGGUCCGGCAUAACCCCGGGAAACUGGGGAUAAUUCCGGAUAACGCACAUAUGCUGGAAUGCUUUAUGCGUAAAAUGGAUUCGUCUGCCCAAGGAUGGGUCUGCGGCCUAUCAGGUAGUAGUGGGUGUAAUGUACCUACUAGCCUACGACGGGUACGGGUUGUGAGAGCAAGAGCCCGGAGAUGGAUUCUGAGACAUGAAUCCAGGCCCUACGGGGCGCAGCAGGCGCGAAAACUUUACAAUGCGGGAAACCGUGAUAAGGGGACACCGAGUGCCAGCAUCCUAUGCUGGCUGUCCGGGUGUGUAAAAUACACCUGUUAGCAAGGGCCGGGCAAGACCGGUGCCAGCCGCCGCGGUAACACCGGCGGCCCGAGUGGUGAUCGUGAUUAUUGGGUCUAAAGGGUCCGUAGCCGGUUUGGUCAGUCCUCCGGGAAAUCUGACAGCUUAACUGUUAGGCUUUCGGAGGAUACUGCCAGACUUGGAACCGGGAGAGGUAAGAGGUACUACAGGGGUAGGAGUGAAAUCUUGUAAUCCCUGUGGGACCACCUGUGACGAAGGCGUCUUACCAGAACGGGUUCGACGGUGAGGGACGAAAGCUGGGGGCACGAACCGGAUUAGAUACCCGGGUAGUCCCAGCCGUAAACGAUGCUCGCUAGGUGUCAGGCAUGGCGCGACCGCGUCUGGUGCCGCAGGGAAGCCGUGAAGCGAGCCACCUGGGAAGUACGGCCGCAAGGCUGAAACUUAA